rnacentral:lncRNA from 1 species
ACAGAAAUGAAUACUUUCAGACUAGGUUUGAAGGACUGAGUAGGAGUAAACUAAAAGAGAAAAAGCAGGACAAAAGAAGCACCACUUUGGAAGCUCAAAGCCGCACUGGAAACACAGUCUUUCAGGAUGUCUGAAAGGGGCAAGUCUGUUUGUGUGGGGCUGGGGAGCUGUGCUUUGGAAAAGCAAUGAGGAGGUAACAGGAAGUCUCUUCUCCUUCUAAAUCCUGUGUUCAUGGAGGAGGGUGGGUUUUCUCCUCUUGAGAGGGAGUUACAUACAAGUUUAAGGGAAAAGAGUCUGAAGUUUCCACCUAAAUGAUUCUGAAAGAAUCAGAUAUACAGGGAGUCCACGGAGCCUCCCCUGCAAGCAUCAGUACAGAAGUCGAUGAUAAUCUGGAUGCAAGCCCAGGAGUGUGGAGUCCACUGACUCAGAAGACCUGCAUCUAAGGAAUUGGCUGUUCUUAUCCUUAAGAAUGAUGACUGUGUUUCCAAUUCCAGUAGACCCUUUGAUGCGUUCUGAAUAAAUAUUCCUUUUGGAAUUGAACUUCUAGAGCCCUUAACUUUGG